UACGUAGGCAGCGAGCGUUGUUCGGAGUUACUGGGCGUAAAGGGUGUGUAGGCGGUUCUUUAAGUUUGGUGUGAAAUCUCCCGGCUCAACCGGGAGGUGCGCCGAAUACUGAGGGACUAGAGUGCGGGAGAGGAAAGUGGAAUUCCUGGUGUAGGCGGUGAAAUGCGUAGAUAUCAGGAGGAACACCGGUGGUGUAGACGGCUUUCUGGACCGUAACUGACGCUGAGACACGAAAGCGUGGGUAGCAAACAGG
rnacentral:rRNA from 1 species